UACGGAGGGUGCAAGCGUUGUUCGGAAUCACUGGGCGUAAAGCGCGUGUAGGCGGCCUCUUAAGUCUGGUGUGAAAGCCCGGGGCUCACCCCCGGAAGGGCACUGGAUACUGGGAGGCUAGAGUACCGGAGAGGAGGGUGGAAUUCCUGGUGUAGCGGUGAAAUGCGUAGAGAUCAGGAGGAACACCGGUGGCGAAGGCGGCCCUCUGGACGGCUACUGACGCUGAGACGCGACAGAGUGGGGAGCAAACAGG
rnacentral:rRNA from 1 species